rnacentral:rRNA from 1 species
CCCACGGGAGGCAUCACUGGGGAAUAUUGCUCCAUGGGUGGAAGCCUGACCCACUUCCGCCGCGUGGGGGAUGACGGCCUUCGGGUUGCAAACCUCUUUCGGCCCCGACGAACCCCGAGUGACGGUCGGGGUACCCUAAGCACCGGCCAUUUACGUGCCUUCCGCCCCCGUAAUACGUAGGGCGCAAGCGUUGUCCGGAAUUAUUGGGCGUAAAGAGCUCGUAGGCGGUCUGUCGCGUCUGCUGUGAAAUCCUCAGGCUCAACCUGGGGCUUGCAGUGGGUACUGGCUGACUGGAUUGCCCCAGGGGUGACUGGAAUUCCUGGUGUAGCGGUGGAAUGCGCAGAUAUCAGGAGGAACACCGAUGGCGAAGGCGGUCACUGGGCCGAUACUGACGCUGAGGAGCGAAAGCUUGGGGAGGGAACAGGAUUAGAUACCCUGUCAGCCCCUGCCGCAAACCCCCGGCGCUUCGUGUGGGGGUCAUUCCACCGUCCCUGUGCCCCAGCUAACGCAUUAAGCGCCCCGCCUGGGGAGUACGGCCGCUAGGCUACCACUCAAACGAAUUGACCGCGGCCCGCACUAGCGGCGGAGCAUGUGCAUUAAUUCGAUGCUCCCCUAACAAUUUACCCGGGUUUGACAUGCACCACACGCAUCCCGACAUGGGUGCUGCCUUGUGUCCGGAGUGCAGGUGGUGUCUGGCUGUCGUCAGCUCUCUCUGACAUCUUCGGUUAACUGCCGCAACGAGCGCAACCCUUGUUCCAUGUUGCCACCUCGUAAUGGUCGGGCACUCUUGGCAGACUGCCCCGGUCAAUCUUGAGGACGUGGUGACGACGCUCACUCAUCAUGCCCUUAUUGCCAGGGUUCUACA